rnacentral:rRNA from 1 species
CUUGGUCAUUUAGAGGAAGUAAAAGUCGUAACAAGGUUUCCGUAGGUGAACCUGCGGAAGGAUCAUUACCGAGUGAGGGCCCUCUGGGUCCAACCUCCCACCCGUGUUUAUUUUACCUUGUUGCUUCGGCGGGCCCGCCUUAACUGGCCGCCGGGGGGCUCACGCCCCCGGGCCCGCGCCCGCCGAAGACACCCUCGAACUCUGUCUGAAGAUUGUAGUCUGAGUGAAAAUAUAAAUUAUUUAAAACUUUCAACAACGGAUCUCUUGGUUCCGGCAUCGAUGAAGAACGCAGCGAAAUGCGAUACGUAAUGUGAAUUGCAAAUUCAGUGAAUCAUCGAGUCUUUGAACGCACAUUGCGCCCCCUGGUAUUCCGGGGGGCAUGCCUGUCCGAGCGUCAUUGCUGCCCUCAAGCACGGCUUGUGUGUUGGGCCCCGUCCUCCGAUCCCGGGGGACGGGCCCGAAAGGCAGCGGCGGCACCGCGUCCGGUCCUCGAGCGUAUGGGGCUUUGUCACCCGCUCUGUAGGCCCGGCCGGCGCUUGCCGAUCAACCCAAAUUUUUAUCCAGGUUGACCUCGGAUCAGGUAGGGAUACCCGCUGAACUUAAGCAUAUCAAUAAGCGGAGGA